CCUACGGCGGCAGCAGUGGGGAAUAUUGGACAAUGGGCGAAAGCCUGAUCCAGCCAUGCCGCGUGUGUGAAGAAGGCCUUCGGGUUGUAAAGCACUUUCAGUGGGGAAGAAAGCCUUGGGGCUAAUACCCUCGAGGAAGGACAUCACCCACAGAAGAAGCACCGGCUAACUCCGUGCCAGCAGCCGCGGUAAUACGGAGGGUGCGAGCGUUAAUCGGAAUUACUGGGCGUAAAGCGCGCGUAGGCGGUCUGAUAAGCCGGUUGUGAAAGCCCCGGGCUCAACCUGGGAACGGCAUCCGGAACUGUCAGGCUAGAGUGCAGGAGAGGAAGGUAGAAUUCCCGGUGUAGCGGUGAAAUGCGUAGAGAUCGGGAGGAAUACCAGUGGCGAAGGCGGCCUUCUGGACUGACACUGACGCUGAGGUGCGAAAGCGUGGGUAGCAAACAGGAUUAGAUACCCGGUAGUC
rnacentral:rRNA from 1 species